rnacentral:rRNA from 1 species
AAUGAACGCUGGCGGCAGGCCUAACACAUGCAAGUCGAGCGGACGAAGGGAGCUUGCUCCUGGAUUCAGCGGCGGACGGGUGAGUAAUGCCUAGGAAUCUGCCUGGUAGAGGGGGAUAACGUCCGGAAACGGGCGCUAAUACCGUAUACGUUCUGAUGUUGAACGUGGGGGAUCUUCGGACCUCACGCUAUCUGAUGAGCCUAGGACGGAUUAGCUAGUUGGUGGGGUAAAGGCCUACCAAGGCGACGAUCCGUAACUGGUCUGAGAGGAUGAUCAGUCACACUGGAACUGAGACACGGUCCAGACUCCUACGGGAGGCAGCAGUAGGGAAUAUUGGGCAAUGGGCGAAAGCCUGAUCCAGCAAUGCCGCGUGAGUGAAGAAGGUCUUCGGAUUGUAAAACGCUUUAAGUUGGGAGGAAGAGAAGUAAGUUAAUACCUUGAUGUUUUGACGUUACCAACAGAGCAAGCCCCGGCUAACUUCGUG